UGGGGAAUAUUGGACAAUGGGCGAAAGCCUGAUCCAGCCAUGCCGCGUGUGUGAAGAAGGUCUUCGGAUUGUAAAGCACUUUAAGUUGGGAGGAAGGGCAGUAAGCUAAUACCUUGCUGUUUUGACGUUACCGACAGAAUAAGCACCGGCUAACUUCGUGCCAGCAGCCGCGGUAAUACGAAGGGUGCAAGCGUUAAUCGGAAUUACUGGGCGUAAAGCGCGCGUAGGUGGUUUGAUAAGUUGGAUGUGAAAGCCCCGGGCUCAACCUGGGAAUUGCAUCCAAAACUGUCUGACUAGAGUAUGGCAGAGGGUGGUGGAAUUUCCUGUGUAGCGGUGAAAUGCGUAGAUAUAGGAAGGAACACCAGUGGCGAAGGCGACCACCUGGGGCUAAAUUACUGACACUGAGGUGCGAAAGCGUGGGAAGCAAACAGGAUUAGAUACCCUGGUAGUCCACGCCGUAAACGAUGUCGACUAGCCGUUGGGGAUCCUUGAGAUCUUAGUGGCGCAGCUAACGCAUUAAGUCGACCGCCUGGGGAGUACGGCCGCAAGGUUAAAAUCUCAAA
rnacentral:rRNA from 1 species